CGGAGAGUUCUCUGAAGACAAACGUUUUCAAGUCUUGUUGAAAUAGAGCCGCAUAAUGAGCAGGAGGGGCAGCUGCUAACCAGUGCCCCAGCCAUGGCCCAGCGUUAUGGGCCAAGAUGUACGCAGAGGAGGCACAGUUGUGUGGGAGAAAAAUCACAGGACGCGGAUUCAGAUGUCUGAGAGUAAGUCGUACCUGCUGUGCAACCCGAAGCAAGUCUGUUUACCUCAUGGAACCUGCCUCUACUGCUGGAAGUGGGGAUGUGUCAGGUACCUCACAGGCUUGUCAUGAGGACUGAGUGAGAUGACAUAGGAAAACACUUGCCAAACUUGAAAGUCUUGCUCCUCAGGGUGUGUCUCAUGCCAGCAGCAUCAACAGCAUCCAGGACUUUGUUGGAAAGGCACGUUCUCAGGCCCCACCCCAGACCCACUGAAAUAGAGUCUGCAUUUCCACAAGAUCACCAGGUGAUUGUGUGCACAUUAACGUUUGAGAAGCCCUAUUCUAAAGAACCAAACAAAUGUAGUGUGUUGAAAUUUUGGACUUUUUUCAUAUUCUG
rnacentral:lncRNA from 1 species